rnacentral:rRNA from 1 species
CCUACGGGAGGCAGCAGUGAGGAAUAUUGGUCAAUGGGCGCGAGCCUGAACCAGCCAAGUCGCGUGAAGGAAGACGGUCCUAUGGAUUGUAAACCUCUUUUGUCGGGGAGCAAAAGACGCCACGCGUGGCGUUCCGAGAGUACCCGAAGAAAAAGCAUCGGCUAACUCCGUGCCAGCAGCCGCGGUAAUACGGAGGAUGCGAGCGUUAUCCGGAUUUAUUGGGUUUAAAGGGUGCGCAGGCGGAAGAUCAAGCCAGCGGUAAAAUUGAGGGGCUCAACCUCUUCGAGCCGUUGAAACUGGUUUGCUUGAGUGAGCGAGAAGUAUGCGGAAUGCGUGGUGUAGCGGUGAAAUGCAUAGAUAUCACGCAGAACUCCGAUUGCGAAGGCAGCAUACCGGCGCUCAACUGACGCUCAUGCACGAAAGUGUGGGUAUCGAACAGGAUUAGAUACCCGUGUAGUC